UCUUUGGAAUGAAUGGUUGGAGGAGAAAGCCCCGUGAAUAGAUAAGGCAACGAUUAGGAGGGGGUGGGUCUAAGCGCGUAGCGUUACACGAGUGAGCGACCGGCCCGAUUGUUCGGCCGACGCGUCGGGUUGAAAGGUUUCCCUUUUAACAAGGGAAACGUUUAAAACCGGCGCGCCGGCCGAAUCGUUGCGCCGGUCUCACUCGCGCAGCGCAACACAUUUUAUUGGACCCACACACCGCUUGGCUACCUUACCUAUUCAGUCAGCGUGCGAUGCGCUCUCCUCCACUCCUUUUUCUUCUGUCCCCAGAACACAUCUGUGCUAGUUCAUCUCUAUCUGCAUCCUCGCCGGCGCGGCACACAACUCCCAUCCCCCACUUCAAACCAUUUUGUUUCUUACCGAUGUGAGUCACCCCGGAUUUGUGGUGUGCCAGCCACGGCGGCGCCCGGCGUUGACUACUCCGAGCGGCCAGCGCGGCCGCACAACUCUGCUUCCUCGCGCUGGAGUUAGUGUUGUGCUGCCACCGCCGGCGACGAGGCGGACAAGCUUUUGGGUGCUGCAAUCAGUUGCGCCCUUCGACGGCGGAGUUGCAUCCGUGCGCGUCGAAGCUGGAAACGGCGUUUUUGGGAGCUGCAAGCAGUGCAGGUCGGCGGCCGUGACAAGCCAGAGGGUGGUGACGUGAUGGGCGGCGAUCUCGCACGGCUUGGCGGACAACGAUGGCCAUCGUUUUUUACCGGGAGGACGCGACACCAGCGGGGACGCGACCUGUGCCGGGGAUAGAACGAGCGUUGACCAGAUCUGACGGUUGAGGGAAGAUUAAUUCGACGGCUCGCGCUUGACCGGCCGAACUAUUGGGCCGGUGCACCGGCACCUAUCAGUCCCCUUUUAACAAACACAUAUUUUAUUUUGAGAUCUGGGGCUCAUUUAGUUGUGACGUACGCACCAAUUUUAUUUUAUUUUGGAGACAUUAUCCCACAUCAGCAAAGAAAUAAGCUCACCCAUUGUCCGUUAUUUGUUUGUUUUU